GCCGUUCUGCCACCCCUAUUUAUACGCCGGGAGGCUCCUGACGCAGCCUGCGAUCGAUCACGGCACGCCGGCCAGUGGGGGCAGCGCGCUGCUGCAGCCAAGGCGAGGAUUCUGCGCAAAAGGGAAGGCGGGGUCGAGCUACGGCCCGAGGAGCUGCGGCGGUCGUCCUUUCCACUUUGCUCAGAGGGCCCUGAUUUUCUCUGAGAUCCCAUGCCCCCUCACUCAUUUCCCUUCUGUACUCACUCACGCAGCCCCUCCCGUCCUGCAUUGCCCAGACCCCGUGACACUUGGAUCCUUAAGUUGCCCCCAAAACAGGUUCUUGCUCCCUUUUGACACCCUAGUUUUCUGUAUCCCGUCACCUCGCAGACACCCUGUCCCCCCAACUCGCCCUUUUCCCACCAGGAACCUCCUUAAUUUUUUCCCUUGGUGUUUACGGUGAUGGUGCGGCUAGGGAAUUUUAGAUACAAAUAAAUAGGCUAGGUUAUGUGUA
rnacentral:lncRNA from 1 species